rnacentral:rRNA from 1 species
UACGUAGGGUCCGAGCGUUGUCCGGAGUUACUGGGCGUAAAGCGCGCGCAGGCGGCGGUGCUGGCCCGGCGUGAAAGCCCCCGGCUCAACCGGGGAGGGUCGUCGGGGACCGCACCGCUUGAGGGCGGUAGGGGCUGGUGGAAUGCCUGGUGUAGUGGUGAAAUGCGUAGAGAUCAGGCGGAACACCCGUGGCGAAGGCGGCCAGCUGGGCCGUCCCUGACGCUGAGGCGCGAAAGCGUGGGGAGCGAACAGG